rnacentral:rRNA from 1 species
UACGGAGGGAGCUAGCGUUGUUCGGAAUUACUGGGCGUAAAGCGCACGUAGGCGGCUUUGUAAGUUAGAGGUGAAAGCCCGGAGCUCAACUCCGGAAUUGCCUUUAAGACUGCAUCGCUUGAAUCCGGGAGAGGUGAGUGGAAUUCCGGAGUGUAGAGGUGAAAUUCGUAGAUAUUCGGAAGAACACCAGUGGCGAAGGCGGCUCACUGGACCGGUAUUGACGCUGAGGUGCGAAAGCGUGGGGGAGCAAACAGG